rnacentral:rRNA from 1 species
AGUGAACGCUGGCGGUAGGCCUAACACAUGCAAGUCGAACGGCAGCACAGUAAGAGCUUGCUCUUACGGGUGGCGAGUGGCGGACGGGUGAGGAAUACAUCGGAAUCUACUUUUUCGUGGGGGAUAACGUAGGGAAACUUACGCUAAUACCGCAUACGACCUACGGGUGAAAGCAGGGGAUCUUCGGACCUUGCGCGAUUGAAUGAGCCGAUGUCGGAUUAGCUAGUUGGCGGGGUAAAGGCCCACCAAGGCGACGAUCCGUAGCUGGUCUGAGAGGAGGAUCAGCCACACUGGAGCUGAGCCACGGUCCAGACUCCUACGGGAGGCAGCAGUGGGGAAUAUUGGACAAUGGGCGCGAGCCUGAUCCAGCCAUACCGCGUGGGUGAAGAAGGCCUUCGGGGUGUAAAGCCCUUUUGUUGGGAAAGAAAAGCAGCAGGUUAAUACCCCGCUGUUCUGACGGUACCCAAAGAAUAAGCACCGGCUAACUUCGUG